AGGACGAACGCUGGCGGCGUGCUUAACACAUGCAAGUCGAGCGGAAAGGCCCUUCGGGGUACUCGAGCGGCGAACGGGUGAGUAACACGUGAGUAAUCUGCCCCUAGCUCUGGGAUAGCUCCGGGAAACCGGGAUUAAUACCGGAUACGACCACCUUAGACAUCUUUUGUGGUGGAAAGAAUUUCGGCUAGGGAUGAGCUCGCGGCCUAUCAGCUUGUUGGUGGGGUAACGGCCUACCAAGGCGACGACGGGUAGCCGGCCUGAGAGGGCGACCGGCCACACUGGGACUGAGACACGGCCCAGACUCCUACGGGAGGCAGCAGUGGGGAAUAUUGCGCAAUGGGCGAAAGCCUGACGCAGCGACGCCGCGUGGGGAUGAAGGCCUUCGGGUUGUAAACCCCUUUCAGCAGGGACGAAGCGAAAGUGACGGUACCUGCAGAAGAAGGCGCCGGCUAACUACGCGCCAGCAGCCGC
rnacentral:rRNA from 1 species